GCCAUCCUCGCGUGCGGAGGCUCGCUCCCUCCGCACGCCGAAGGCGCCACCUCCCUUCCUUAGCUGGACCGCCAUCUCCCUCCACCACUAGAGCCCCUCGCUCACGGGGCGCGCACGCACCCAUCCUCCUUCGUUGCUCUGCCCCUCCCCCCCCCCCCCCCCCCUUCGCAUCUCCACCGUAGUCUGCUUCGCUCCUGUGCGAGCAAGCCGCCUCCGGCUCCGGCGGCGAGGAUAAUGCUCCGUGCACCCCAACCCCUGUUCGACACCUUCUCGUGCCUCUGCAUCGAGGGGCCCCUCCCGGCCGCGCUCACGCUGCUCUCGGAUCUCGCUGCGGCGAGCCUACGCGCAGACCGUCUCCUUCGGCCGCCUCGUCAAGCUCUGCGUCCGCCACGGCAUACCCAGCGACGGCCGCCUCAUCCAUCGCCACGACACUCUCUGUGCCCAUGGCAUGCUACAUGGCUCAGUUUAGCCUGUGCAGGCUCUGAUGUGGAUCACUCUCUAGCUGCUCGGUGAAAUACCCAUACAAGGAUGCAUACUAGCAUGGUAUUCAGAUUGACCGUCAUCCUCCUGGUUCCAGCAAGCAUGAUGGUCGUGCACGCACAGGAGGACCCCAAUUCCAUCUGAAUUUUGCUCUGCAACUCCUCAUUGGCCAGCUUUGUCAACCUGAAUAAUUUCUUGGUUAUCAAGCACACCAGUCCACCAACCUUUUUCAGGUUGUUCAUCUAUCCAACUCCAGCCAUGAGAGAAACGGCGCCAAACAGCUUCAAUCCAAGCCACACAUGUCUUUAUUCAGCCUCUAUCUUUCUUUUGUGUGUGAAACAUAGCAACAGCAGACUAGAAGAGUAGCACACUAGCACAGGAGAGUAGUAGGUGUGUUUUCAUAGCUAGAACAAUCAAUUUAAGAUGAGUUGCCCCGUGAGGCCAUUAGAGCAAUUAUUGAUGCUGAGAUGAAAAUGGAUGCAUGGAUGUAUGUAUUGUGAUAUAACUUGUCAUCUACUUGAAUGACUCAUAUUUUUAUUGCUCUUUUAUAUAUUUUCUGUUUAUUAAGUUCUUA